rnacentral:tRNA from 1 species
GGAGAGUUGACCGAGCGGCCGAAGGUGGUGGUCUUGAAAACCACUGUGGGGGUAACCUCACCAAGGGUUCAAAUCCCUUACUCUCCG